rnacentral:sRNA from 1 species
AGGGUAUGACAAAGCAAAUAGGCGGACCAAUGCAUCAGUUGGCGGCUAAGGUAGAUGAGUAUGCUCGAGGAAUGAUAAGCGGGACUGGAUCGUCACUGUUUGAAGAACUCGGUCUUUACUAUAUUGG